rnacentral:rRNA from 1 species
UACAGAGGGUGCAAGCGUUAAUCGGAAUUACUGGGCGUAAAGCGUGCGUAGACGGUUAUGUAAGUCAGGUGUGAAAGCCCCGGGCUCAACCUGGGAAUGGCAUUUGAGACUGCAUAGCUAGGGUGCGGAAGAGGGAAGCGGAAUUUCCGGUGUAGCGGUGAAAUGCGUAGAUAUCUGGAGGAACACCGGUGGCGAAGGCGGCAUCCUGGACCAAUACUGACGCUGAGGAGCGAAAGCGUGGGGAGCGAACAGG